rnacentral:ribozyme from 1 species
UCCUGGUUCUCACCAGAAAGCUUCAACCCUCGGGUUUUGAGACGGGCAGGGGUAUGCCUCUUCAUCGGAACGCUAGCGAUUGCACUGGUUUUGGGAAGUUUACAUUCGAAUUCUAGCGGUAUGAAAGGCAGCGCUCGCUUCAGUGCAGUCGACAGGGUGAAGG